rnacentral:rRNA from 1 species
UACGGAGGGUGCAAGCGUUAUCCGGAUUCACUGGGUUUAAAGGGUGCGUAGGUGGGCAGGUAAGUCCGUGGUGAAAUCUCUGAGCUUAACUCAGAAACUGCCGUGGAUACUAUUUGUCUUGAAUAUUGUGGAGGUGAGCGGAAUAUGUCAUGUAGCGGUGAAAUGCUUAGAUAUGACAUAGAACACCAAUUGCGAAGGCAGCUCACUACACAAUUAUUGACGCUGAGGCACGAAAGCGUGAGGAUCAAACAGG